GGCCAGUUAGCUCAGUUGGUUAGAGCGCGGUGCUGAUAAUGCCAAGGUCACGGGUUCGAUCCUCGCUCGGUCCC
rnacentral:tRNA from 1 species